rnacentral:rRNA from 1 species
UACAGAGGGUGCGAGCGUUGUUCGGAAUUACUGGGCGUAAAGCGUGCGUAGGUGGUUUCUUAAGUCCGUUGUGAAAGCCCUGGGCUCAACCUGGGAACUGCAGUGGAUACUGAGAGGCUAGAGUGUGUCAGAGGAUGGUGGAAUUCCCGGUGUAGCGGUGAAAUGCGUAGAGAUCAGGAGGAACACCCGUGGCGAAGGCGGCCUUCUGGGUCCGCCCUGACGCUGAGGCGCGAAAGCGUGGGGAGCGAACGGG